rnacentral:RNase_P_RNA from 2 species
ACAUUGAUAAUUCCUACGAUUAAGAAACCUGUUUACAAAAGGAAUUUCCCUUCGCGUCUUCCCAGAUGGGGAGGGAAAUUCAUCAGCCUAGCAGGUGGGAAAUUCGGUGGAACACAGUGGAAUGGUUAGCCUAACUUACAGUUAGACUCACUUCUCUACUCCCCUGGGAGUCUCCGCCUGGAGGCUUCUCCUGUCCGUGAGGAUUUACUGGGGAACCAGUUCAAUUCCUGUUGGGGGACGUUGUUAUCAGAAAUACAACAGAAAUUGAUUUAGUUCAAUUUCUGAUGGGAAUGGCAACGGUUAUUCUAUUUGACGCAUAUCUUUCGAAGAUAUGCAGUCUGUUGAGUGCAAUCGUAGGACUACUGAUGGAAACAUCCAGUUGAACCCGAUACCGAUUACUAUCAUUGU